ACAAAGUAUGUUACAUUUCCAACAAACUCAGUAUUGGAAAAAAGCUCAAGGAGCUGCUCUACUGAUGUAAAUAAAUCCAACUUAAAGAGUCAACCAAAACAUACGAAUUAACCUCUUUCUUUAAGUUGUACCAAACAAGUUAUGAAUAGGUUCUUUUAGUAGCAGCAGCAAAAUUGAAUGAAACUCAAAUAAUAAUAAAAAAACACAUGAAUUCAAAUAGAAGAUUGAACUUGCCACUAAUACUAUAGUAAUAAAUAACAAUAAAAGUGAUAAAAUUUAACAGUAAUAUUUAAAAUGCUAACAUCGUAUGCAGAAAAAAAGAGUAGUAAAUAAUUAUGGUCUCUUUUAAAUAUGAACAGUAAUAAUCUUGGUCCAUUAGCAACUAUAUGAUUUAAUGGAAACUAGAACAACACAUCGAAACCAAAAGUCCAAUCAAUAACCAGCAGCAAUAUAAGUUCAUUCGAAAGAACCCGAAAUCAUUACCGGAAGGCAUAAACAAACUUGAAACAGAGAGUCGGUUUAUUUUCGAUACUACUACCUUCGAAGCCUUGCAAAAUCGUUUCAUCAAUGGUUCGUGAGGGAUCACCAAUUUCGGAUCCUGUUACUUCUGUUGAGAAUCUGUGGAGGCGCGAACUGCUAUUGCUGCGAGACAAAAACGGAAGCAACACCAAAUUGUAUCAAAAACGGAGUUUAGUCCAGCGUUACGUUUAUUGACAUGAUGGUAGUCUCGUGAAAAGGGUGGCGGUCGAGCGGAGAUGAAGGUUUAUGCGGCGGAACAUUGAGUAGGUCUAAGGGAGAAGAGUGUUUGGGUUGAGAAGUGUUCGGUGAUGGUAGAUCCGACAAAGAAUGGCGGCGGAGGUAGAGGUAUUGUGUGGGGUUUCGCAGCGAUGAAGAAGAAGAAACGAACAGUGGUUCGAAAUGGAAGGUGGGAGGUGCGUCGUCGGAUAUCGUGAUUUAUUGAAGUGCGAACGGAGAUUGUGCAGUGGUUUCUAUGUUGUCGGUUGCGAUUCAAAGUUAGUUUGAAGGCGGAGAUGGGAAGAGUAAAGGAUAGGCGGACUUGUGAAGAAGAGGUUUUCCAAUUUUUGGAAAAAGGGGAAACAAUCUCUCUUCAGCAACGUACAGAGAGAGUAUUUUUAUUUUUUCUAUCCCAAAUCACCUCCCCUUCUUAGGUGAGUCAAGC
rnacentral:lncRNA from 1 species